AAGGAUCAUUAACGAGUAAACAGGAGAGUUGUAGCUGGCCGCAAGGCAUGUGCACGCUCUCUACUCAAUCCAACCUUACACCCUGUGCACCUAUUGUAGGUCGAGUGGCUGGACUUGUUCUGGUUGCUCUUCCUAUGUUUUACACAUACACUUGUAGUCUCAGAAUGUAAUCAGCGUAUAACGCAUUAUAAAACA
rnacentral:misc_RNA from 1 species